GACGAACGCUGGCGGCGUGCUUAACACAUGCAAGUCGAACGGAAAGGCCCUGCUUUUGUGGGGUGCUCGAGUGGCGAACGGGUGAGUAACACGUGAGUAACCUGCCCUUGACUUUGGGAUAACUUCAGGAAACUGGUGCUAAUACCGGAUAGGAGCUCCUGCUGCAUGGUGGGGGUUGGAAAGUUUCGGCGGUUGGGGAUGGACUCGCGGCUUAUCAGCUUGUUGGUGGGGUAGUGGCCUACCAAGGCUUUGACGGGUAGCCGGCCUGAGAGGGUGACCGGCCACAUUGGGACUGAGAUACGGCCCAGACUCCUACGGGAGGCAGCAGUGGGGAAUAUUGCACAAUGGGCGGAAGCCUGAUGCAGCAACGCCGCGUGCGGGAUGACGGCCUUCGGGUUGUAAACCGCUUUCGCCUGUGACGAAGCGUGAGUGACGGUAAUGGGUAAAGAAGCACCGGCUAACUACGUG
rnacentral:rRNA from 1 species